GUACGUAGGGGGCGAGCGUUGUCCGGAUUUAUUGGGCGUAAAGAGCGUGUAGGCGGCCAGGUAGGUCUGCUGUGAAAACUCGAGGCUCAACCUCGAGACGUCGGCGGAAACCAUCUGGCUAGAGUCCGGAAGAGGAGAGUGGAAUUCCUGGUGUAGCGGUGAAAUGCGCAGAUAUCAGGAAGAACACCCGUGGCGAAGGCGGCUCUCUGGGACGGUACUGACGCUGAGACGCGAAAGCGUGGGGAGCGAGCAGG
rnacentral:rRNA from 1 species